AGGUAGAAUGGCCGAGGAUAGGCGGCAGGCUGUAGACCUGCCUUACAGAGGUUGAGUCCUUUUUCUAU
rnacentral:tRNA from 1 species